GAGAGGCAGGGCCAACAGAGGAAACUGAUAGUGGAAAUGAAAUAGAACUAGGAAACUAUAAAACUAAAACAAAAGACUCACAGCCAGCCGACCCCAACCAUCACAGGGAUUGGAGUCAUUUGUCUGUCCAGCCUGUGUCCCUGAUCAGUUAGUUGUGUCUUUGGAUGAUCAAGUGCAAGAAACCAGGAAGGGGUAGGCACCACUAUUGGUGAAGAGGUUGAGCAGGUUAACAGUUUCCUUUCAAGAUGUGCUGUGACCACCAAAUACAUGUCAAUGUCAGUAAGGACAGACAUGUUAACAGUCCAUGCCAUGGGGUGGAAUGACCGCAAGAGGGACAACCUCUAUAGAGCCUUGUCUUCAAGAUACUACAAGACAUUAAAAAACACCAUGAGGCAACUGUGACCCUGAAGAACAUGCAGGAACAAUGUCAGUGUUCUGAUUACAUACUGGAACAGUGUAAAGGACUGGUUAAGAUUUUUUUCUAUGAAAUGUAUAUUGUUUACUGGAGGUGUUUUGUAUUAUAGAAAUAUACUACUGGUCAAAAGUUUUAUAACA